UUGGAGGGCAAGUCUGGUGCCAGCAGCCGCGGUAAUUCCAGCUCCAAUAGCGUAUAUUAAAGUUGUUGCAGUUAAAAAGCUCGUAGUUGAAUUUCGGGAUUAGUACGUUGGUCGUGCCUUAGGUACGUACUGGUGUUACUGGUUCCUACCUUCUGACGAACCAUCAUGUCAUUAAUUUGGUGUGGCGGGGAAUCAGGACUGUUACUUUGAAAAAAUUAGAGUGUUUAAAGCAGGCUCGCGCUUGAAUACAUUAGCAUGGAAUAAUGAAAUAGGACGUUGACCCUAUUUUGUUGGUUUCUAGGAUUGACGUAAUGAUUAAUAGGGAUAGUUGGGGGCAUUAGUAUUCAAUUGUCAGAGGUGAAAUUCUUGGAUUUAUUGAAGACUAACUACUGCGAAAGCAUUUGCCAAGGAUGUUUUCAUUAAUCAAGAACGAAAGUUAGGGGAUCGAAGACGAUCAGAUACCGUCGUAGUCUUAACCAUAAACUAUGCCGACUAGGGAUCGGAUGAUGUUAAUUUUUUAAUGACUCAUUCGGCGCCUUACGGGAAAC
rnacentral:rRNA from 1 species